rnacentral:rRNA from 1 species
GAUGAACGCUGGCGGCGUGCUUAACACAUGCAAGUCGAACGGAAAGGCUCCUGCUUGCAGGGGUACUCGAGUGGCGAACGGGUGAGUAACACGUGGGUGAUCUGCCCUGCACUUCGGGAUAAGCCUGGGAAACUGGGUCUAAUACCGGAUAGGACGAUGGUUUGGAUGCCAUUGUGGAAAGUUUUUUCGGUGUGGGAUGAGCUCGCGGCCUAUCAGCUUGUUGGUGGGGUAAUGGCCUACCAAGGCGUCGACGGGUAGCCGGCCUGAGAGGGUGUACGGCCACAUUGGGACUGAGAUACGGCCCAGACUCCUACGGGAGGUAGCAGUGGGGAAUAUUGCACAAUGGGCGCAAGCCUGAUGCAGCGACGCCGCGUGGGGGAUGACGGCCUUCGGGUUGUAAACUCCUUUCGCUGGGGACGAAGCGCAAGUGACGGUACCUGGAGAAGAAGCACCGGCUAACUACGUG